rnacentral:rRNA from 1 species
GACGAACCGUGCGAACGUUGUUCGGAUUCACUGGGCUUAAAGGGCGCGUAGGCGGUACGCCAAGUCUGGGGUGAAAUCUUUCGGCUCAACCGGAAAAUUGCCUGGGAUACUGGCGUGCUCGAGGGAGGUAGGGGCAGCGGGAACUGCCAGUGGAGCGGUGAAAUGCGUUGAUAUUGGCAGGAACGCCGGUGGCGAAAGCGCGUUGCUGGACCUCUUCUGACGCUGAUGCGCGAAAGCCAGGGGAGCAAACGGG